rnacentral:rRNA from 1 species
UAAAUUCUCUAGUGGCGCACGGGUGAGUAACACGUGAGUAACCUGCCCCCGAGAGCGGGAUAGCCCUGGGAAACUGGGAUUAAUACCGCAUAGUAUCGAAAGAUUAAAGCAGCAAUGCGCUUGGGGAUGGGCUCGCGGCCUAUUAGUUAGUUGGUGAGGUAACGGCUCACCAAGGCGAUGACGGGUAGCCGGUCUGAGAGGAUGUCCGGCCACACUGGAACUGAGACACGGUCCAGACACCUACGGGAGGCAGCAG